rnacentral:lncRNA from 10 species
CAGGGAUCGUGGAAACAUGUGAUUCUCCAUAAUUCUGAAUUCCUGAAAGCCUAUAACUCACUCAUCGUGAGUGAAUAACAAAGCUUUGUAGUUUAAGCCGCUGAGAUUUUGGGGGUUUUAUUUCAGUAUAAUUUAGUCCAGGGCAACCUGCAACCUGCAGGCAAGCUGCCUGUUUUUAUACAGUUUUGUUGGAACACAGGCACAUGUAUUUGUUUAUGUAUUAUCUAUGGCUACUUCCAUGCUGCCACCCAGAUCACUUACUUUGAGGGAAGCCAGCUACUAUGUUGUGAAGCCCACAUGGUGAGAAACUGAGGCCUCCUGCCAACAGUCAUUUGAGUCAAGCCUUCAGAUGACUGGUGCCUUGGCCAAAAUCCUGACUGCAACCUCAUGAAGAACUCUGACGACAAAUUGCCCAGUAAAGCUGCUCCCGAAUUCCUGAUCCACAAUUAAUAUGAGA